rnacentral:rRNA from 1 species
AUACGUAGGGUGCAAGCGUUAAUCGGAAUUACUGGGCGUAAAGCGUGCGCAGGCGGUUUUGUAAGACAGGGGUGAAAUCCCCGGGCUCAACCUGGGAACUGCGAUUGUGACUGCAAGGCUGGAGUGCGGCAGAGGGGGAUGGAAUUCCGGGUGUAGCAGUGUAAUGCGUAGAUAUGCGGAGGAACACCGAUGGCGAAGGCAAUCCCCUGGGCCUGCACUGACGCUCAUGCACGAAAGCGUGGGGAGCAAACAGGAUUAGAUACCCUGGUAGUCCACGCCCUAAACGAUGUCAACUGGUUGUUGGGGAUUUAUUUUCUCAGUAACGAAGCUAAAGCGUGAAGUCGACCGCCUGGGGAGUACGGCCGCAAGGUUAAAACUCAAAUGAAUUGACGGG